rnacentral:rRNA from 1 species
ACCCGCACAAGCGGUGGAUGAUGUGGUUUAAUUCGAUGCAACGCGAAAAACCUUACCCACCUUUGACAUGUACGGAACUUACCAGAGAUGGUUUGGUGCUCGAAAGAGAGCCGUAACACAGGUGCUGCAUGGCUGUCGUCAGCUCGUGUCGUGAGAUGUUGGGUUAAGUCCCGCAACGAGCGCAACCCUUGUCAUUAGUUGCUACGAAAGGGCACUCUAAUGAGACUGCCGGUGACAAACCGGAGGAAGGUGGGGAUGACGUCAAGUCCUCAUGGCCCUUAUAGGUGGGGCUACACACGUCAUACAAUGGCUGGUACAAAGGGUUGCCAACCCGCGAGGGGGAGCCAAUCCCAUAAAGCCAGUCGUAGUCCGGAUCGCAGUCUGCAACUCGACUGCGUGAAGUCGGAAUCGCUAGUAAUCGUGGAUCAGCAUGUCACGGUGAAUACGUUCCCGGGUCUU